CACCAUAUGGUUACAUGGCCCCGCCACGGCCACCUUAUCAACAGCAGUAUCCUCCUUACCAGUCAAUGAUGGCUCCACCCCCACCUCCACCUGCACCACCUGCAAUGCAGCAGUACCCUCCAGGUGCACCUGGGUCAUCUUCUCAGGGCUGAGAUCCUUUUUUGGCUGUGUUUCUUUUUUUCCUUGAAUUCAUGUGCUCUUUGCUAUCCAUCGAAUCAGGCUUUGUGCA
rnacentral:lncRNA from 1 species